rfam:Prochlorococcus marinus MED4 complete genome.
GGAGAGGUGGCUGAGUGGUCGAAAGCGAACGAUUCGAAAUCGUUUAACGGGAGACUGUUCGUGGGUUCGAAUCCCACCCUCUCCG